GUGGCUUUCUUUCUCCUCUUCUGGGAUUUUGUGCCCUAUUGCCACAGAAACCCUGGGCCCCUUCCCCAGCUGUCAUGAAGGUGCCUGAGUGAUGGUCAGAGAGAUGACCGGAGGGGCCCACCCGGCCACCGCAGCAGCAGCAGCCAAGGCGGGACUAAGCCUCCACACCCCACAUCUCAGUCGUGGCCAGCCCGGGAUGCCUGCCUCUCCUGCCCUGUGGUGUUGCUGUCCUCAUAUGACCCUUCAGUCCCCCGACAUCUGGACAGGCUUUAGGGACCUGCUUGAGCAGAACAUGGUAGAAGUGAUGGACUGGGGCUUCUGAGGCUAAGCCAUAAGAAGCCUUGAGAAUUUCACCUGGCCCUCACUGUCUCUGGGAGCCCUGAGCCAUGAUAGAAGAAGUCCUUCCUAUAUUGAAUGUCCUUGAGACCUCCAGUACUGGAAAGGGCAUUUGUAGAUGCUCAGACCAACAGUCCAAACUGAGCCCAGUCUGCCAACUUGCCCUGCCAAGGUGUCAGAUGCAUAUGUGAAUGAGACCAUCCUAGACCUGCUGAUAGCCCAUCACCCGGCUGACUGCUACUGAGUAACCUCUGCCAACUUCACGCCGAACACAGAACUGCUGAUUUGAACUCUGCCUGAAUUUCUUGGCCCACAGAACAAUGAGAUAUAAUUAAAAGGCAAUGGUUC
rnacentral:lncRNA from 1 species